rnacentral:tRNA from 1 species
AAUGAAAUGCCUGAAUAAAGGAUUAUCUUGAUAGGGUAAAUAAUGUAUUAAAAUACUUUCAUU